GCGAGCGCGCGUGCGCGGCGGGUAUUGGCAAGGCUGAAGCUUGCACAGCCCCAGUGGCCGAAGAGGCAGAGGGGCAGCAGAGCACCGGCCCGGCUUAGGCGUCUUCCCUUCUUCUUGGCGGUAACCCUGAAUGUCUCAGAAUGGAUAUCAGCUAGAAGACUCUGACCUGGACAGAUGCAGCUCUAGACAUACAGUUCCUGCAGUCAUGCUAGUAGAGAGAUCAUGUCAGCAGCAAACAGUGCAAUUGGACGUCAGCAGCAAAGCAUUCAUUCCUGAAGGAAAUUAUUGAACCCACACACAGAGAAUUCUGACAGCAUUGUUUAGAAAUGUGGUCUUCUUAUGUCGUCCAGGCUGAUCUCAAACUCCUGGGCUCAAGCAAUCCUCCUGCUUCAGCCUCCCAAGUGCUGGGAUUACAGGUAUGAGCCACCAUGCCUGGCUGCUCCUAUUGUUUUAAGUCAAGGAAUCAGGAUUAUGCAUUGUAUUUGACAUGUUGCUUCAGUCGCCUCUAAUCUAGUUUAUGAGCUCUUCAAGAUUGGGCCUUGCCCUUUGUGUUUUCAUUUCUGGAGCCUGGAAUAUCACUCAGCACAAAGUAUAUACUCAAUAAAGGUUUUCCUGGCCAGAGUCCAUACCGUUGUUUCUGCUUGACUCUGAAACAAACUCUUGAAAAACAGAAGACACAGAAGAUCUCAAGAGUGUUUCCCCAUGACAAUUUAUAUUAAAACUCUGUCUGGGCCCACUGUCAGUUCAAAAUAAGAAGAAUCAAUAAGAGACAACACUGGGAACUAAACAUAAAACCUGUUGGAAUUCACUGGUUAAAUAAAAUUAAGUUGGGCAUGGUGGCCCAUGCUUAUAAUCCCAGUACUUUGGGAGGCCAAGGCAGGAGGAUUGCUUGAGGCCAGCAGUUUGAAGCUGCUGUGAGCCAUGAUCAUGCCAUUGCACUCCAGCCAGGGCAACAGAGUGAGACCCUGUCUCAAAGAAAAACAAUUCACCAGUUUCUGACUUUUCUAAAUAGAAAUAAUAGAAUUAUGUAUUGUAUCCUGUUUACAAGAUUUUCAACUACAUUAUUUAAUUAGUUACAUUCAGCAUAUAAUAUCUAUGACAAAGUUAGAAUAAAGUUAUUACUUCUAAAAUGAGCAAAAUAUAAUCAAAAGCCUUAAUGCGAAGAAAUAUCGUAAUUGUAUUAUAUAUUCAUGUUUUUACAUUGGUGUAAGAUAUGUACAUUUUAAACCUAUGAAACAGUGACAUAAUCAUCUUCAUAAUCUUCUAUUCAAACGUUUGCACAUUUCUGGCAUGAGCACAGUGCCGAGCAUAGAGUGGGUGUUUGACAAAUGUUUUUGAGCUAAGUGAAUACAUAUACUAUUACCGAUAUUUGACAAGAACUUUAUGGUGUGCAAAGCCAUUGUUUCAUCUGAACCUCAUAAGAAUGCAGUGAGUUGGGUAGAGAAGUGAUUACCACCAACUCUACCUUAAAGUUGAAAAAAAGAGUGAGCCAAAGGGAUUAAUUAAUUUGUCGAAGUUCACACACAGCUAUUAUGUGGUAUGGCUGCAUUUCAGAUCCAAGUCUUGGGUGUCUAAGUCUCAAGUCUAUUCUGACUUCACUUCCAAACUUAAAUUAUUUAUGUACGGUGAAAAAACCAAAAAUUCCUUAACAUUUUAAAUGGCAUUCAGUAUAUUUCUAAAAUAUCAAAAUAAAAUUGCUCUAAUUUUAUUAAAAUUAGAGAAUCAUAUAUCUACAUAGAAUAGACACUAGUAAAAUAAAUUUAGCACCUGAAAAUAAUUGAAAAAUUUGUCUUAGGACUAAAAUGAGAGGAAAGCACAGAAUAUGUGAAGCAAAAGCAAUCAUGUUGUUAGUGAACUGUCAGCAUCUCUUAGUACCGAUGAGUGAAUAAUUAUCACAAAAGGAAAGAAAAAAUAAACCAUUAUCAAGCCCGCCUGUAAUAGUGUUCCUCUGGGGAUAAUUAUUUGUCUUUAUUGCAUUCUAAUAGUACUACUUUACAUAUUGUAUAAAACCCUUCUAUUUUUAUCUUUAUAUUUGAUCCAUGCUUUUAAAAAUCCACGCUUUUAAUAAACAAAUUGUUUUCUUAA